GUACACACCGCCCGUCACACCAUGGGAGUGGGUUGCACCAGAAGCCGGUAGUCUAACCGCGAGGAGGGCGCUUGCCACGGUGAGAUUCAUGACUGGGGUGAAGUCGUAACAAGGUAGCCGUAGGUGAACCUGCAGAAGGAUCA
rnacentral:rRNA from 1 species